AGAGUUUGAUCAUGGCUCAGAACGAACGCUGGCGGCGUGCCUAACACAUGCAAGUCGAACGGGUAUAUUGAGGUAGUAAUACUUUAAUGUAUUAGUGGCGCACGGGUGAGUAACACGUAGAUAAUCUACCCUAGAGUGGGGGACAACCCAGGGAAACUUGGGCUAAUACCGCAUAAGACCACGGACUGAGAUGUUAGUGGUAAAAAGAGCAAUUUGCUUUAGGAUGAAUCUGCGGCCUAUCAGGUAGUUGGUGGGGUAAUGGCCCACCAAGCCAAUGACGGGUAGCCGGUCUAAGAGGACGAACGGCCACACUGGAACUGAGACACGGUCCAGACUCCUACGGGAGGCAGCAGUGGGGAAUCUUGCACAAUGGGCGAAAGCCUGAUGCAGCGACGCCGCGUGGGGGAUGAAGGCCUUCGGGUUGUAAACUCCUUUUGUAGGGGAAGAUAAUGACGGUACCCUGCGAAUAAGCCACGGCUAACUCUGUGCCAGCAGCCGCGGUAAGACAGAGGUGGCGAGCGUUGUUCGGAAUUACUGGGCUUAAAGGGCGCGUAGGCGGUGAUAUAAGUCUGGGGUGGAAGCCCAUAGCUUAACUAUGGGACUGCCCUGGAAACUGUAUUGCUUGAGUCGGACAGGGGAAGGCGGAAUUCCAGGUGUAGCGGUGAAAUGCGUAGAUAUCUGGAGGAAGGCCUGUGGUGAAGACGGCCUUCUGGGUCUUGACUGACGCUGAGGCGCGAAAGCGUGGGUAGCAAACAGGAUUAGAUACCCUGGUAGUCCACGCCCUAAACGGUGGGUACUAGGUGUGGGGCCCGUACGGGUUCUGUGCCGAAGGGAAACCAUUAAGUACCCCGCCUGGGGAGUACGGCCGCAAGGUUGAAACUCAAAUGAAUUGACGGGGGCCCGCACAA
rnacentral:rRNA from 1 species